AUUGAACGCUGGCGGCAUGCCUUACACAUGCAAGUCGAACGGCAGCACGGUUGCUUGCACCUGUUGGCGAGUGGCGAACGGGUGAGUAAUACAUCGGAACAUGUCCUUUAGUGGGGGAUAGCCCGGCGAAAGCCGGAUUAAUACCGCAUACGAUCUACGGAUGAAAGCGGGGGACCUUCGUGCCUCGCGCUAUAGGGUUGGCCGAUGGCUGAUUAGCUAGUUGGUGGGGUAAAGGCCUACCAAGGCGACGAUCAGUAGCUGGUCUGAGAGGACGACCAGCCACACUGGGACUGAGACACGGCCCAGACUCCUACGGGAGGCAGCAGUGGGGAAUUUUGGACAAUGGGCGAAAGCCUGAUCCAGCAAUGCCGCGUGUGUGAAGAAGGCCUUCGGGUUGUAAAGCACUUUUGUCCGGAAAGAAAUCCUUGGCCCUAAUACGGUCGGGGGAUGACGGUACCGGAAGAAUAAGCACCGGCUAACUACGUG
rnacentral:rRNA from 1 species